GUAUGUGGAAACACAGAGGAGGGGUUUUUUGAUGGGUUUGAAGGUGGCCCCCAAAAGAUAGAUCCAGAUCCAUGGACUCCUGGUACCAUGAAUGUGACCUUCUUUGGAUAGAGGGUUUUUGCAGAUGUAAUUAACUUACUGAAGUCACCCUGAAUUAUUCAGAUGGGUCCUAAAUUUGGUGACACAUGUUCUAAUAAGAGAUAGAAGGGGAGAAGACACAGACACAGGGAGAAGACAGCCAUGUGAAGGCAGAGACGGGAGUGAGGCAUCUACAAGCCAAAGACUGCCGGCAACCACCAGAAGCCAGGAGAGAGGCCUGCAACGGGUUGUCCCUCACACCCCUCAGGAAAAGCCGGCAGGCCAACACCUUGAUUUGGGACUCCUGGCCUCCAGAACUGUGAGAAAAUGGAUUGCCACUAUUUCAAGCCACCUGGGCAGUGGUGCUCUGGUGCAGCAGUCUAUGGGCAACUGAGUGUCUAACUCACAUCCAGGAAGGUUGUCUUGGGAGGUUUCUGAAGCAGCGGCAUUAGAAAUGAGUCCUGAAGUUGGAGUAGAAGGUCAUCAGGUUGCAGGGAGGUGGGCAGAAGGCCUUCAGGAGGCCUUACCGGAGCGUGCACAGGCAUGAGGCAAGAACAAGCACUGCGGGGGCUGAGGACAAUGAUCCAGUAGGACUGGAGCCUGGGAGCCUGCAGAAGACAGCGUCAAAGAUAGGCCUACUCUAAAGAUGGUACUCUGUUGACCCAGAGUCUGGAUGUCAUUGUGAGGGUAAUGGGCUCAUUAAAAGUGUUCAGUAGGGGAGUGCUCCAGUCAGGUGUGCUUUGGAAAGGUUUCACAGGAACCCAAAGAGAAGAAUGGAUCCAGAACUGACCCGUCCAAGACUAGGAGGUCUGUUUGGCAACAAUGCCAGCCUGGAAUGGUGGGAGAUGGAGUGGGCAGAGGCGAGGCAGGCACAGAGCCCAGGGGAUGGGAGGACACAGGGGGAGGAGACACCAUCAGCAGAGCCUGGACUGCCUAUUGUGGGGCACUCUAGGAGGCCACCCAACUAGGGGUCUGGGUGAUGGCGUCAUUCCACUUACUGAACCAUGGAGAGAGAGUGGCCUCAGGGGUCCACGAUGAGUUAGGUUUGGGGACAUGUUGCAUCUUCAUGCGAUUGCUAAGAGGAUCAAUGGACUAUAACAUAUGCAAAGUGCCCAGCACAGCGGCCAGCCAGUGGCGCUCAAUAUUUAUCAGGAGACUGCAGAAACAGGCCCGAGGGAGGGACUAGACACUUGUCUCCAUCUCCAUGCCUGGCACCAUCUGCAGUGCUGGGCACAAUAGGUGCUCAAUGAAUGCCCACAGAAUUGAAAUAUGGGCUGGACCUCAAACACCAUCUGCCAGGCCAUCAUAAGCCCAACACUUUGCAGCAAGAGAUUCACCCCACAGACCACAUCGACAUCCACGCAGUUGCAAGGAAAUCAAUCGGUCUGGCUCCAGCUGUCGAAACUAGGAGCCAAGAGGAACCCUGGACAAAUAGUCUUCGGCUCAGCACUUUCUCCAUCUGGAAAGAAAACCAGGUGGGGGCAGGGGAGGAACACCAGGCCAUCAGAAGGUUAUAAGUCCAUAAAUAAGAGAUUUGUGGUAAAUAAGCUGGCGAACAUAUCCGCUGGCUGCUCUUUUUUAUCACUCACCUAGACAGCAAAAUUCCCCCGCAUCUUUUCUGCAGGCCAAUAAAUAUCCUUCAAGGAGCCUGUAUUUACAUAGAGAGCAAGGCGGGUGCCACUGCUCCACAGGCCCCAUGUCAAGAAGGAACAAUGUAUGGCCCUAAAGAGAAUGGCUGUGCGGGGAAUCAAUGCAAAUGCAGUUUCUUUUCCCAGGGUGAUGCUCCUGAGCAGGGUUCAGCCCGAGUUCAAGGAUUGUGCUCAGGCGGGUGCUGAGGGGACCUUUACAUGGAGGAGGUGAAUCUCUCCCCUAGGCAGGGUCCCCAGCUGCCUCAAGCCCACUCUGGGGCUCUGCACCCAAGACCCUUUCUCCAAAAUGAAAGAGGCCUAAAGGUUAUACUCUGGGACCUCUAGAUCAACCACUGGGUGUUAUGCCACAGAAGGAUUCAUUAAGGACCUACUGUGUGCCAGGCGCAGUAGGUAAAUGGAAACAAGGACAGACAAGGCUCCUGCCUUCCAAUCAGAGAGCUGGGAUUGAGUGGCUUCGCCCAGUAGUGGGGAAGGCUGGUCAGAAGGGCUGGCAUAUAAGCUGACACACCCAGUGGGAUUUGAACAUGAGCAGAGGAGAGAGGGUCCUGAGUAGAGACCAUGGCCUGCUCAGAGCACCCCAGGUAAGAGACAUGGAAGCAAGGUGCCAGGAGGAGGUAGAAGGACAUCUGAUACCUGGAGCGCAGUGGGUGAGAAGAAACCAGGACACACAGGAGAUGACGUCUAUGAACUGGAAAGCGGGCCUUCGCCAGAUACUGGAUCUGCUGUCAUCUUAAUCUGGGACUCUUCAGUCUCCACAACUGAAACGGAAACUUUUGGAGGUUGAUACAUGAUCCAGAAUUGCACCCCCAGGAAGGAACAGCCGGGAGAUUCAAAUCCAGAUCUUGUCAUCCAAGGUCUGGUUCCAAGUCUGCCCCUCAGAACCUGAGCCUCCUGGUUGCUCCUCCAAAUUAUCUCAUCACAGCGAAUUCCACCUGUUCAAUUCCACCUGUUCUGAGAAACUGUGGUUGAAAGAGGUAAAGCAACUUGCUCAAGAUCAUGUGGCUCGGAAGGAGUACAGCAGGAUUUUAAACUUGGUCUGUGACACCUGUGUCCCUGGGCACUCCCCUGGCCUUCAUGUGACCACUGAAGAGAAAUGAUUUGGCUUCCUGUCCAGUGAACAACAGAGGAAGGAGAGGAUCCCAGGAGCCCUCUCUUCUCCUAGCAAUUCAGCUCUGGAAAGACAUAAGAUGCAAUUGCUGAGCCUCACCCUUUUAUCCUGGGGAUGGGGAACUGAAGCCCAGGAUGAAAAAGGGUUGUUCAAUGUCAUAGCCCAAGUUGGCUCUGCCAAAACCAUUCUCUAAGAACUCACUGGAAGCUGAGUACUCUCCAAGGCACAGCUGGGGGAGACUGCAAACAGCUGGACCCUUGUGCCUUGCCUUCCAAGGCUCUGGAAACAGCAUGUUCACAGAAUGACAGGUGGCACAGAGCUCAGGACACUUGGGUCUUCUUCCUUGGUGGGUUCUAUGCCUGGGGCCAUUCUGUCUCUCUCUUGCCUGGUGCCUUUGCCUCCACCUUGCUUAUAAGCUCUUUUCUUCCAACUACAUUCAGAAGCUCCCUGAACAUUUCAUGCCUGUUAUCCCAGGGGUAUAUGGCCUAUUCCUCACUGCUACCUCUGUUUACAUGCCAUAAAGGGAGAAGCGGCUUAAGGCAUGCAGGGGAGGUGAGUUCACCCAUGGUUGAAAAAGGCAUCUGACUUCAAAGCUGGGAGCUUGGCCCCAGCUCUGCCACUUCAGUGAUGGUUGGCCUCCCACAGCAAACCCAACCCAAGCCCCAGGCUCCUUCCUCUGCCACCCCAGGCAUGCUGGGACUCAGCCAGAGCCGGAGCUUUGAGCUCUGGAGUACAGCUUCAUGUGGACGUCUGAGUGCCCUGGGAGUCCUGGUGUUAUAUUAUUCCCAUAUUGAAGGCCAUCCAAGACUAUGAAAACUCUAGGACAAAACACUUAAAAUUCCAAGCAAAUUCCCAGCCUCGUUUCCUGUGCAUUCCUUCCCACCACCCUGGGCAACUCGAUGGGUUGC
rnacentral:lncRNA from 1 species